AGCUUUGUGCAGUGGCAGUUUCGUACCCAAUGAGGUUUAUCCAAGGCGUGAUUAUUGCUAAUUAAAAUGUAAUUGUCAUGAUUGUUGGAGAGGCAAAAACAUGGAAAAUUUUUAAAUGUUUUGUACAAGC
rnacentral:snRNA from 1 species